AGGAACAUUUUUAUGUGUCAGGCAUUUCAUUCUGCUUGAAAAAAUACCUCUUUAGCAUGAAAACUCAAUUUUAAGGUAGGAUAAGGGACCAUAUCUUAUAAUGUAAGUCUAUGGAAAUAUCAAUAUGAGUGUCUGACCUCAAUUGUAUUGGCGGACAAAAACGACGGGUUGACAGACAAGCUUGUAUAUUCCAAACACAUAGAAAAAGUGAAUAUCAGAGAUUGUGAAAAUUAUGAUAAUUCAACAACUGUCGAAAGUUCAGAGGAGGAAGAUGAAAUUAUUAAGAGGAAAAGAAGAAAAACACACAAGAUUUUGUGACAGAUAGUGUGAAUGAUGAUAUCUUAGGUUGGAGACAGUAAAGGUUCAGAUUAUGAUAUGCUUAAACUUUAAAGUAUGCCCAAGAUCACCAUAGUGGAGGUGGACGAAAGAAGAAUGCUAAUUAAGAUACAUGAACAUUGCUAUUUAUAGUAAUAUCAAAAUGAUCACAAUAUUGUUCCAUUUAACAUUCAGAUAAAAAGUACAAAGAAAAAUAUACAAUCAGUGAGUUGGAUAGAUGAUUGGAGAAUCCUAACCUCAGGGUGAUCGGUUCAGUCGGGAAUAAGCCUUGGUGAUAUAAGAAAAACAUGCAUGAAUGUUAACCAUCAAAAAUGUCAGUGUUAAUGUUUAUGAAGAAUUUUGUAUAUCUAAAACAUGAUUAUUUAAUAUAUGAAGCGUUAUUUACGUACAUACUGUCAAGUUUAAUAGUUUCAUAAUACAUUAUGUUAAUGUUACAUUUGUUAUAGUACCGCAUUUUUUGUUUUGUACAUGUGAUUCGUAUAGCUAUUAAAUUGUUAAAAUUAUAAGAAUGCUUAUUCGUUUACCCUACUAAUGAGCUUAAAAUGAAAAAAAUCAUAUUCCAAAAAGUUUGAAAUGAGGUGAAAUCAUGGUCAGAUAAGG